rnacentral:rRNA from 1 species
GUGACCUGCGGAGGAUCAUUACCGAGAGAGGGGCCCCGCGCUCCCGGGGGCUUCGGCCCCCAACUCUUCACCCUCUGACUACCUACCUUGGUUGCUUUGGCGGACCUCGGGGUCUCCCCGCGCAGGCUUUCCGGGUCGGCGAGCGUCCGUCAGAGGCCCAUCGAAAUCCGUUUAAUCGUGUCGUCCGAGUUCAAAACACAAUAGUAAAAACUUUCAACAACGAAUCUCUAGGUUCCAGCAUCGAUGAAGAACGCAGCGAAAUGCGAUAAGUAAUGUGAAUUGCAGAAUUCAGUGAAUCAUCGAAUCUUUGAACGCACAUUGCGCCCCUCGGUAUUCCGGGGGGCAUGCCUGUUCGAGCGUCAUUACCCCCCUCAAGCGCGGCUUGGUAUUGGGCCCUCGCCUCCGCGGCGUGCCCGAAAAGCAGUGGCGGUCCGGGGCGACUUUAAGCGUAGUAAAUUUGAUCCCGCUUUGAAAGCUCGCUCCGCGCCCGGCCAGACAACCCCAUUAUUUCGUUAAUUGACCUCGGAUCAGGUAGGGAUACCCGCUGAACUUAAGCAUAUCAAUAGGCCGGAGGAA